GACGAACGCUGGCGGCGUGCCUAAUACAUGCAAGUCGAGCGAAGUUUUUCUGGUGCUUGCACUAGAAAAACUUAGCGGCGAACGGGUGAGUAACACGUAAAGAACCUGCCUCAUAGACUGGGACAACUAUUGGAAACGAUAGCUAAUACCGGAUAACAGUAUUUCUCGCAUGAGAGAUAUUUAAAAGUUGGUUAUGCUAACACUAUGAGAUGGCUUUGCGGUGCAUUAGCUAGUUGGCGGGGUAAAGGCCCACCAAGGCGACGAUGCAUAGCCGACCUGAGAGGGUGAUCGGCCACACUGGGACUGAGACACGGCCCAGACUCCUACGGGAGGCAGCAGUAGGGAAUCUUCCGCAAUGGGCGAAAGCCUGACGGAGCAACGCCGCGUGAGUGAAGAAGGAUUUCGGUUCGUAAAGCUCUGUUGUUAGGGAAGAAUGGAUAUGUAGUAACUAUACAUGUAAGAGACGGUACCUAAACAGAAAGCCACGGCUAACUACGUG
rnacentral:rRNA from 1 species